GAGUUGUAUGAAAAGAGAGAAGGUUAGCAUCCUUGACAAGGUUGGAAGAGGAUUCUUCUGGCAAUGCACAUAUGGUUAAGGCUCUGUCACCUACCUAGUGGCAGCUAACCAAUGUUUUCG